rnacentral:lncRNA from 1 species
GGAGCAAAGCACUUCCAGCCACUCAUUUAUCCUGAUGGGCAGGCUGCAGAACAUAGAUAUAGCAAUCUGCUUGGCUGAUUCCUGCUACACAUUGGGAGUCGUGGAAUAGGUCUCAGCAGGUAGAAAGCUGUGCACCCACGCACUGCAGAAUGCUGUGAUUACAGCAGGGAAUUUGAAUUCCAAUGAGGGCAACUAACCUGGACUUGGUUAGUCUAAGAAGGCCAGCAGGAGGAAAUGACUUCUGAACCAUCCCACAACAUCAAGGACAAGGAGCAGCUGAGCAGGUACAAAUCAAUAUAAGCAGAAUUCCUAGUGUGUUCUUUCACUUCCGUGGUCCACUGAGUGCUUUCAAGAGAACCAGGAGACAGAUUGCAUCGAGGGCCUGGCUGAGGGCAGCAGAGAGGUAAGGACUGACCAGCUUCACCUGAGAAAGUCUGAGUGGGCAGUCUCCCAGGCCU